rnacentral:rRNA from 1 species
GACGAACGCUGGCGGCGUGCCUAACACACGCAAGUCGAACGGAGAAUUAGCAAUAAUUCUUAGUGGCGAACGGGUGAGUAAUGCGUAGACAACCUACCCUUUAGAUGGGGACAACACCGCGAAAGUGGUGCUAAUACCGAAUAUUGCUUGAGAAGCGCAUGCUUUUCAAACUAAAGAUGGCCUCUAUUUAUAAGCUAUCGCUAAAGAAUGGGUCUGCGUCUGAUUAGCUAGUUGGUGAGAUAAAAGCUCACCAAGGCAACGAUCAGUAGCCGGUCUGGGAGGAUGAACGGCCACACUGGGACUGAGACACGGCCCAGACUCCUACGGGAGGCAGCAGUGGGGAAUCUUCCGCAAUGGGCGAAAGUCUGACGGAGCAACGCCGCGUGAGUGAUGAAGGUUUUCGGAUCGUAAAACUCUGUUGUUAAGGACGAAUGUAUAGAUUGUGAAUAAUGGUUUAUAAUGACGGUACUUAACGAGGAAGCCACGGCUAACUACGCGCCAGCCGCCGCGGUAA